GACGAACGCUGGCGGCGUGCUUAACACAUGCAAGUCGAACGGAAAGGCCCUGCUUUUGUGGGGUGCUCGAGUGGCGAACGGGUGAGUAACACGUGAGUAACCUGCCCUUGACUUUGGGAUAACUUCAGGAAACUGGGGCUAAUACCGGAUAGGAGCUCCUGCUGCAUGGUGGGGGUUGGAAAGUUUCGGCGGUUGGGGAUGGACUCGCGGCUUAUCAGCUUGUUGGUGGGGUAGUGGCUUACCAAGGCUUUGACGGGUAGCCGGCCUGAGAGGGUGACCGGCCACAUUGGGACUGAGAUACGGCCCAGACUCCUACGGGAGGCAGCAGUGGGGAAUAUUGCACAAUGGGCGGAAGCCUGAUGCAGCAACGCCGCGUGCGGGAUAACGGCCUUCGGGUUGUAAACCGCUUUCGCCGGUGACGAAGCGUGAGUGACGGUAAUGGGUAAGGAAGCAACGGCUAACUACGUG
rnacentral:rRNA from 1 species